AUAAACACUGUACCCAAAUCCACGUUUUACAAUGCUCCUGGGAAAUGGGUAGGCCUCCACCUAUAGUCCUUCACAGUUUUACAGGUGUGAUAUAUUUAUUUAUUUACAUAGAUCACAUACAUAAAUAAAUAUGUUAGCUGUAGGUAGCGUUGAGAUCAAAUUCCCAUAUUCUAUUGCUACUAAACAUAUAUCAUGUUUUCCUCAUUUGCUCUGUAGGAGGUUCGUCAUAUGAAGGACAUUCAAGUGGAUGUGACCCCGAACCUGCAAUAGGGGCUCAGUGAGGUGACAGACAUCCUGUAAUGGAUCUCCAGCUAGUGUCUGAGGACCUGGAGAAGGCUGUGUCUACAGCUGUGGGGCAGGACAAGUAUGGUAUAGCAGGUAACCAACCCCACCCGGGUCUUACCCCCUAGGACUUACCCUUUGCUACCGGCUACCACCGGUCGUAAUACAAUGGGACUACUGAAUAAGCUCAGGCUUUCUAGUCUGAACAGGCCGUUCUUCUCUUUCCUCAACUAAUUGAAACGUCAGGGACAGACAUCCUGAACGACUCUGAUGUCAGACCUCCCAUCAGCCCUCUACACCUCGCUGUGAGUAAAGCCUACCUGCUCCUGUAGUGGUCUCCAUAUGACAAAUGGCACCCUAUUCCCUAUUUAGUACACUACGUUUGACCAGAUCCUUAUAGGCCCUGAUCAAAAGUAGUUCACUACAUAGGGAAUAGGGUGCUAUCUGGGAUGCAAACAUGGUGUAGAUUUUCCACAGGAAGUUGACUGUCCAGACAGACUCACACACCAUAUUCCGAUCUAUUCCUGAUUAGUGUAAAAUACAUGCAUAUUGUACUCAGUAAUGAUGAGGAUGAUUUCCUUAUU